rnacentral:rRNA from 1 species
GUGGGGAAUUUUGGACAAUGGGCGCAAGCCUGAUCCAGCAAUGCCGCGUGCAGGAAGAAGGCCUUCGGGUUGUAAACUGCUUUUGUACGGAACGAAACGGUCCUGGUUAAUACCUGGGGCUAAUGACGGUACCGUAAGAAUAAGCACCGGCUAACUACGUGCCAGCAGCCGCGGUAAUACGUAGGGUGCGAGCGUUAAUCGGAAUUACUGGGCGUAAAGCGUGCGCAGGCGGUGCUGUAAGACAGGCGUGGAAUCCCCGGGCUCAACCUGGGAAUUGCGCUUGUGACUGCAGUGCUGGAGUACGGCAGAGGGGGAUGGAAUUCCGCGUGUAGCAGUGAAAUGCGUAGAUAUGCGGAGGAACACCGAUGGCGAAGGCAGUCCCCUGGGCCUGUACUGACGCUCAUGCACGAAAGCGUGGGGAGCAAACAGGAUUAGAAACCCGUGUAGUCC